rnacentral:rRNA from 1 species
UUACGGGGGGCAGCAGGCGAGAAAACUUUGCAAUGUGCGAAAGCACGACAAGGUUAAUCCGAGUGGUUUCUGCUAAAGGAACCUUUUGACAGUCUUAGAAACACUGUUGAAUAAGGGGUGGGCAAGUUCUGGUGUCAGCCGCCGCGGUAAAACCAGCACCUCAAGUGGUCAGGAUGAUUAUUGGGCCUAAAGCAUCCGUAGCCGGCUCUGUAAGUUUUCGGUUAAAUCUGUACGCUCAACGUACAGGCUGCCGGGAAUACUGCAGAGCUAGGGAGUGGGAGAGGUAGACGGUACUCGGUAGGAAGGGGUAAAAUCCUUUGAUCUAUUGAUGACCACCUGUGGCGAAGGCGGUCUACCAGAACACGUCCGACGGUGAGGGAUGAAAGCUGGGGGAGCAAACCGGAUUAGAUAACCGUGUAGUC